rnacentral:rRNA from 1 species
GAUGAACGCUGGCGGCGUGCCUAAUACAUGCAAGUCGAGCGAACAGACGAGGAGCUUGCUCCUCUGACGUUAGCGGCGGACGGGUGAGUAACACGUGGAUAACCUACCUCUAAGACUGGGAUAACUUCGGGAAACCGGAGCUAAUACCGGAUAAUAUAUUGAACCGCAUGGUUCAAUAGUGAAAGACGGCUUUGCUGUCACUUAUAGAUGGAUCCGCGCCGGAUUAGCUAGUUGGUAAGGUAACGGCUUACCAAGGCAACGAUGCGUAGCCGACCUGAGAGGGUGAUCGGCCACACUGGAACUGAGACACGGUCCAGACUCCUACGGGAGGCAGCAGUAGGGAAUCUUCCGCAAUGGGCGAAAGCCUGACGGAGCAACGCCGCGUGAGUGAUGAAGGUCUUCGGAUCGUAAAACUCUGUUAUUAGGGAAGAACAAAUGUGUAAGUAACUAUGCACGUCUUGACGGUACCUAAUCAGAAAGCCACGGCUAACUACGUG